CCUUCCUAUUAAGGCUACAGUCCUGUAGAGUCUAGUCUGUUAAUACCAUAAACUGCCUGGCUGUGAAACAUCCAGAAGUGCCCAUUGUUACAGGAAAGAAGACAGGAGCAACAUGGAA